GAUGAACGCUGGCGGCGUGCCUAAUACAUGCAAGUCGAGCGAACGGACGAGAAGCUUGCUUCUCUGAUGUUAGCGGCGGACGGGUGAGUAACACGUGGAUAACCUACCUAUAAGACUGGGAUAACUUCGGGAAACCGGAGCUAAUACCGGAUAAUAUUUUGAACCGCAUGGUUCAAAAGUGAAAGACGGUCUUGCUGUCACUUAUAGAUGGAUCCGCGCUGCAUUAGCUAGUUGGUAAGGUAACGGCUUACCAAGGCAACGAUGCAUAGCCGACCUGAGAGGGUGAUCGGCCACACUGGAACUGAGACACGGUCCAGACUCCUACGGGAGGCAGCAGUAGGGAAUCUUCCGCAAUGGGCGAAAGCCUGACGGAGCAACGCCGCGUGAGUGAUGAAGGUCUUCGGAUCGUAAAACUCUGCUAUUAGGGAAGAACAUAUGUGUAAGUAACUGUGCACAUCUUGACGGUACCUAAUCAGAAAGCCACGGCUAACUACGUGCCAGCAGCCGCGGUAAUACGUAGGUGGCAAGCGUUAUCCGGAAUUAUUGGGCGUAAAGCGCGCGUAGGCGGUUUUUUAAGUCUGAUGUGAAAGCCCACGGCUCAACCGUGGAGGGUCAUUGGAAACUGGAAAACUUGAGUGCAGAAGAGGAAAGUGGAAUUCCAUGUGUAGCGGUGAAAUGCGCAGAGAUAUGGAGGAACACCAGUGGCGAAGGCGACUUUCUGGUCUGUAACUGACGCUGAUGUGCGAAAGCGUGGGGAUCAAACAGGAUUAGAUACCCUGGUAGUCCACGCCGUAAACGAUGAGUGCUAAGUGUUAGGGGGUUUCCGCCCCUUAGUGCUGCAGCUAACGCAUUAAGCACUCCGCCAGGGGAGUACGACCGCAAGGUUGAAACUCAAAGGAAUUGACGGGGACCCGCACAAGCGGUGGAGCAUGUGGUUUAAUUCGAAGCAACGCGAAGAACCUUACCAAAUCUUGACAUCCUUUGACAACUCUAGAGAUAGAGCCUUCCCCUUCGGGGGACAAAGUGACAGGUGGUGCAUGGUUGUCGUCAGCUCGUGUCGUGAGAUGUUGGGUUAAGUCCCGCAACGAGCGCAACCCUUAAGCUUAGUUGCCAUCAUUAAGUUGGGCACUCUAAGUUGACUGCCGGUGACAAACCGGAGGAAGGUGGGGAUGACGUCAAAUCAUCAUGCCCCUUAUGAUUUGGGCUACACACGUGCUACAAUGGACAAUACAAAGGGCAGCGAAACCGCGAGGUCAAGCAAAUCCCAUAAAGUUGUUCUCAGUUCGGAUUGUAGUCUGCAACUCGACUACAUGAAGCUGGAAUCGCUAGUAAUCGUAGAUCAGCAUGCUACGGUGAAUACGUUCCCGGGUCU
rnacentral:rRNA from 1 species